rnacentral:lncRNA from 1 species
GGAUGGGAAGAGUCUGUGGAUGCAGCAGUUUCUCACCUUCUAAGAACUUGUCUAUCUAAAAGUUCCAAGGACCAGGCCCUAAACCUUACUAGUCAACUGCACAUUCCUAAAGAUACAUCUAGAUUAAAGAGACACAUCACUUUACUGUGUGAUAGAUUAGCCAAAGGUGGAAGGCUGUCAUUAAGUGCGGAUCCUGUAGCACAAGAAACCAUUGUAAUGCCAGGUAAUUAUUCCUUUGUAUGUACUAUUUGUACUGUAAUUUAUAUUAACAAAUGAAGUAGACAUUCUAAGCACCACAGCUAUUUUAUCUUAGUUAAAUGGUUUAACUGUUCCCUUUGUUCUAAUCAAUUUGAACCAUGAUCGAAAACCUAAUAUUUUAUAACCCUUCAUAUAACUUAGAUCUCUUUUUGGAAUUCUUAGUAUAUCCAUAUUGUUUUACAGCAUCUCCUUAUGUCCUUCAAUAUCCAGAGAAUUAACUCUCUAUAUGUUUCAGGUGUCCUAGCCAUGCUGCUAUCAUAGCAUCCCUUUCAUUCACCAAGUAGUUUCUAAAGCUCGUCGUAUUUUACCCUUCCGUGUGUGACUCAGACCCUCCAGUAUCUUCCAGCUUCUAAUCACCAAUGACGUUCAUACUUGCCUGUUUAGCAGAUAAAGAAUGGACCUCUUUUGUAACUUCUUAAUUUCAUACUGACACCAGACCUGAGUGGAUCCUUAGUAGAUUGACAGACAGUGGACUUUGUGUCAGUGACGCUCACAUUUUACUGCCACUAGCAUUCGUGAUCAGCACAUACAGCAUGCUGAUGGUGAACGCAUACCCUUUACACUCACAAGUGUGUCUGCUAGCAUAAGCUGACUGUGCUUUAUAUCAUAAAAAGAAAAAAGGGUCAGUGUGUCUUUAAAACAGACUAAAACAUUAAAGUGCAAAAAAUUGUAUAAGUGCACUGUGUUAUAUUACUUCUCAGUAAAAAACCUUAUGUACAAAAAAAUAGCAAAUCUGUGCUAAAGUAUUAAAGUGCCCAAAAAAAAAAAUUACAGUGCUUAUAGUGGAUAACAGAAAAAGUACUUGCACUGAAUAACUCACUUACUUGACUCAGAAUAAGGGUAUAUCUCUUCCAAUAUUCUCAGAAGCAUAUAAUGUAAACAAGAUAAAAGAAAAUAUAUAGUGUAAUACAAUAUGAAUAAAAAACACUCAAUGGCUAAUAUUAAAAACCCAUUCACAAGUGGAGAGCAGAGAAGCCUGCUCUAACUGUCAAAGCAAUAGCAGCAGCAAGUGGAUAAAACAUCUUAAUUUUGAAAGUAUUCAUAAAAUCACCCAAUGCCCAUCACCUCCUGACUGGAACUACUUCCAUGUGCUCGGAUACAGUCCCUCCUGUUCGUUGCCGGCUGUGCUUUAUACAUGUGUACACAGCUUAAUCCUCUCCCAUACUUGGCUGCUCUGUAUUAUGACAUUUAAUUAUAGCUUCUCUAUGAGAAGCAUUGCAUUUGUUGAUUUGUCAAUAACUAUUUAACUAAAUGUGUCUCUGUGGAAUAAUUUGAUCGGACACUAACCAUCUGGGCAGAAAAGGGAAGGAUCAGCUAAGCUGCAGAAGUCAGAUCAGCAGCUAACACAACAAAAGUAUUGUUGACUUAUACUAAGAAGUCCUUUCUAAAAAAAAAUAAAAAAUUAUUCAACUAAAAAAAAAAUUAAAAAAUAUAUAUACUUUUCAUUUAUUUUUAUUUUUUUGACCAGACCUAGAGUGUUCCUUUAGAACAUUUCAAAGCACAAAAGGUUUGGAUAACAGAAAAGUAGCUAAUGGACUCCUGUCCUUCAGUAAAAUAUUUUUAUGACACACAUUCCAUGACCCUCGAGCUUAAAAUGUGUCAAACUCAAAUUUUUUUCUCACAUAAAUAGUUGGUUGAAAAGUCAAAGGACUUGUAAAUAAUACACCAUAAGCUAAGUAUAAAGAGUAACGAGUGUGAUAAGAGUCAACAUCCUCCUGGGAUUGUAAAAUCAUUUCUCUAAGGCUACAAAACGACAGACCAUAAUGUGUAGACAUUCCAUAUCCUUAUGGACAAAAAGCUGCUUUUGAAAUCUAAACUGACGGUACACAACAUAAUUACAUACAUACCUUUCUGAAAACUUAGUAUGGAAAACAAAGUAUGUUUUCCUAUUUUUUAGGGCAAAUAGAUUAUUAAUCAUAAUCAAAGUAUUAUUUUGUAUUUUAAAGUAAACAGGUGCUAUCAACUUAAUAGCACACGUUAAUCACCAUAACCCAUAGAGAGUAUUGUUGUGGUUAUGGUGGAAGUGGUCUUUUUGUGAAACAGUUUUUUGUGCAGUUAAAAAAAAAAAAAAAAAAAAUCUCUCUAGACACUCAAAACGAGGCCACCCAGCUGCUGACUGAUAUUAGGGAAGUAUCACUUCUUGUCUGUUCAUAUACAUCCAAUAUAUCCUUCCUGUGUGUGGUGGCUGAGUGCAUAUUGUAGUUUUGAGCAGUAAAUGUUCGGUAUAACAGUAUACUUCAGAACAGUAAGGAAAGCUAUUUAUUUUUGCGCAGGAAGGACACAAUUUUUCAAACAGAAGAAACUUGCUUCACCAAUUAACAUUUUGUGCAUUUACACGCAAAUAUUAUGAUUAUGCAAUGACGCAAAUACACACCUUGAAGAAUUGGGGGUCAUACUUCAAAUUGGUUUCUUUAUGUACAAAUACUUGUACUCUAGGUUUCAUCAGUUAACAGUUAUACAUGGAUAACAAACAACAGAUUAAGAUGUUUCUAGCAAUUAGUGCAUGUAUUUCUCACAACUCCUGGAUAUUUCAAGUAGUACUCAGAUCAUACAUGUUUAAUUAGUUAGGUUUAAAGGAAUACUAUAGGCAUCGAGGCCAUGUCAUCUCAAUGAAGUGGUCUGGGUUCAGUGUCCCUGUUUCCUUAACCCUGCAAUGUAAAACAUUGCAGUUCUAGAGAAUCUGCAGUGUCGACAUUGCAGGGUUAAGAAUGCUCUUAGUGGCUCUUUGGCCACUAGAGGCGAUUCCUGCAGUUUCACAGUUUUUAACUCUGUGAAACGUCACUGGACAUCCUCACGCUAUGCAUGAGGACGUCCAGCAUCUUGCAAAACACAAGAGGAAAGCAUUGAGCCUAAUGUGGAGACAGAACUCCCCAGGCAUGCGCAUUAGGUUCCCCUUUGUACUGAUAUCGGAGGAGGAGUAGACCGAGCCUGGAAUCUGGAAGUGGAAGUGUUAAAAGGCGCUUUAUUUUAACCCUAUCUGAGCAAUGGGGGUGCGGAAGUAGAGGGAAAGUGUAGUAUUUGGAAUACAGUUUUAUAUUCCCAACACUAUUAAAAUGUGUUUCUUUAAUAUUAAGACUGCACCAUGUCAGUUUUAGUUUGUGUUUUAAUGGCUUCAUUAUUUUAUUUGAAUAUUAAAAUCAUUACACAGCUACACAAAUAAUGGCUUGAAUGUACAAACUAAUAUAUAAUUUUAAAAUCUUGGAAGUGUUGCAUCAUUUGGCACAGAAAGGUGGCUAAUGUGGAGUGUGGCAUUUUCUAAGAAAAAUGUAAAAAAGUUUUUGUUUUUUUAUUAAUUUACUUUAGAUGCUUUCCCAUAGUCCUUUUUUGUGAUAUGUAUAUUUAAUACUUUAAAAAUGUUGCUAUUAAAAGUAUGUAUCUCUUAAAGCUUUAUAGAAGGUAAAGGACAAACGAAUAACCAAAUAUCAUUCUAUUCUUCCAUAUGCUGAAAAAAUAAUGUCAUUACAUUUGUUGUUGAUUUUGUGUGUUUUGUCUGGAAGAAAUUAUACCUGAAUUCUAUAUAUAUUUUUUUGUAGGACUUCCCACGAAUUCUCCUAUGCCAAAGAGCAAUGCAUAGUUUUAUAUAUCUAUGAAUUGUAAUACAACAUUUUAGUACAUUUUAGACUUGCAAUACAAUUGUGACAUUAUAAUCUGUCCUAACACUGUGCACUGGCAUCAUUAGGAGUAAAUGACGAAGUGGACGGAGAACGGGACUCGAAACUCCAGGGACAUUUUUGAGGGGCCCACUGCAAAAGAAAUGUUGAGACUUGAUAAGAAAUGUGAAUUGCUGCUGUACUUUUCGAUCCUUCAAGCCAUUGAAUAAUAAAUGUGUGCGCAGUUGAAAUAAUGUGAAAUUUGUUAAAACAAUGUUAAUGAUGAUUAUCAUUUACCUGCAGUAAAUGUAGUGUUUAUUUAAGUUUAAGGUUGCAAAUUGUUUUAGUUUAUCACAGGUAAAAGUGAAUUGUUGAUUUAUUUUACCAUGUUUAAGCUUUAUUGAGGUUUUUUCAUGAUUAUAUCAGUUAGAGCAGCAUUUGUACCAGGUUAGCUUCUGCAACAGCCAAAUCUUUUCUGCAUUGUCUAGCGCUACCACGUAAAACAUAACUUAGCGCUAUUACAAGUCGUUAAUAGGAAACAAAAUAUUCCAAACUAUACCACACUUGAUUCUAAUAUUGAGGUAUUGAGGCCACUUUAAAAAAUUUAUAUAUAUAUAUAUUUUUUUUUUUGCUUAAUAUGUUAUUUUGUUACAGUAUAGUAGCAAAGUUGGUCCUCAAAUACAUUCAAAUUGCAGAUUUUCACUGUAAUCUUACAUGAGAACAGGUUGGUUAAACAACACAUGAUCAACAAUCUGAAAGUUCAAUUUCUGUUUAUAAAGCUAAAUCUGCACUUAUGUGGCAAGAUUCUGAAAAUGCCACUAUUGAUUGUUUUUCGAUGACCAACUUUGGGAUCCUAGGGUAAUUGAGUGAGCUCUUUAUCCAAAUUGUAAAACUUCAAAUCCACAUAUUCUGGAAGUUGGAGUGAUUGAUCACUUCUUAUUCAAAGUGAAUAUUUGUCUGCAUGUGUAGCCGAGGCACACUUUCUACUUGGGAUAUGUAGGCAAUGCAAAACAGUAUAUUUUAGAAUUUGCAUAUGGACAUGUUAUUAAUGCUUACACAAAUUUAGAAAUAUAGCUCAUAAUUAGGACUCAGGUUUCGGUCUAUUAAUUACUUUGUUAUUGCAUCUUUUUUAUGAGGGCUGUUGACUUUCUUAAAACAUUUUUAGGUUUUACUACAAAACUUUCUCCACUUUCUUACUUUUUCCAUAAGAUGUGACGAUGGACAAGGAUAGAGGGUGACAUGCUAUCAAAGUGGGCUAAUAGCAAAACCACUAAUUUCUGAGAACUCUACAGGUUACAUAAUAGAUGCAGGCAUAUUAAUACACCUGAAGAUGGCACAGUUUGGGUCCCCUGUUCCAAAGCCUUGUGUCAUUCUUCUGGUGCCCUACUUCUCAGGUAUACCAAUGAAAAUCUAACAAAAAUGCCAUCUGAGCACUCAUGGAUGCACUCUCAUGUCGGAGGUCUGCAUUAUCUGGCUGUCAGUUCACACAUUCAGUUGCAGUUAAUGCCCUUGCAUGUCAUUGAUACAGCACCAGUUUCCCAAAGUAUGGAAUUACAAUAUCAGAAGACCAUAAAAAAAAAAAAAACACCAGUAUCUUAAAUGGGCAAUAUGGUCACCACAAUAACUUUAGCUUAAAUGGACACUGUAGGCACCCAGACCAUAUAUAGCUAAUUGAAGUAGUUUGGGUGCAGUGACCCUUUUGUACUUAGUGCUGCAAUGUAAACAUUGCAGUUCCAGAGAACUGCAGUGUUUACAUUGCAGUACUAAUUCUGCGUUCUGUGGCUGUCUAACAGACAGCCACUAGAGGGCUUCUGGAAUCCAAACGCACACCUACCUGCAUGUAACUUGCACGGCCUUCCUAAACACUUCAUGUAGUAGUAUUAUUAUUGCGAUUGAUAUACCGCCAACAGAUUCUGUAGCGCUUGUAAAGAUGUCAUCUAAGGUUUACACUUCAUUUAUUGCAAAUUCUGUUUAAUGUAAUUUCUUAUCUUAAUAUAUUGAGCUUUCAGUAGGCAAUUAAAGCUCAAUUUACAGAGCAGGAGAUACAAAACUUCUAAAGUAAGUUACAUCUGAUAGAUUUUUUUUUCUUCAUUCCAGCUGUGUCAGUCACAGCCAGGGGAGAUGUCUCUAGUGCUGCAUAAAUAGAAACAAAACGAUUUAACUCUUAAAUAGCAGGUAAUUCAGCAGUUACACUUCAGAGGUAUGAUCUAUACACUAAAUCUGCUUAUUUAAGCUAAAGUUGUUUUGGUGACUAUAGUGUCCCUUUAAUGUAUUUAUUAAACUAUUAAUAGCCAUACUAAGUAUGAAAUAUGGUCUCUUACAGUACAGUUUGGUUACCGAUAAAUGACCGUAGAGACACAACACAUUUGAUAAGACCGCCAGUGUUCCAUUUUUACUAAUUAAAGGGACACUAUGGGCACCAACGCAACUUAAUAGUUUUUGAUAUGUUGUGGCCUUAUCUUACUGAUUUAUUUUUUUCCACAUUCAAAAAGCAUUUUAUGCAGUGUAAGUUCACAGUUCAGAAAAUAAGAGAUAAGUGUGAGAUCAGCAGCUGACAUUACUGUGCACCACUGCCAAUAACUGUUGUUUUCCUCUAAGCACAGCUUUUGAAUUCUUUACAGGUAAUAAGAUUGGCUAUGGGCAGAAUUUAGCAGAAAGAUAUUUGAAUGUAGAGAAGAAUACAGCAUGAAAAUAAGGCCAAAAGUCACAUGCGCUUAUUUCUAGUUGGUGCCUAGAGUGCACCUUUAACGCCCCCUUUGUGUUCUUUAGGAAUUUCUUUAUGUGUUUAUCUAGAGGGACUAUAUGAAACAUCAACAAACCAAUGUAUUGUGAUACAUGUCUGUAUCAAAUAAACAUUUUGUGUUUCAUUACUGUCUGUAUUUUAAAUUGGAAAAUUAUAAUUUUUUUUUUACAAUCUUUAAUUUAG